rnacentral:misc_RNA from 1 species
UCUCGGCUUAUCACCGGCAGUCCCCCUAGAGUGCCCAACUGAAUGAUGGCAACUAAGGGCGAGGGUUGCGCUCGUUGCGGGACUUAACCCAACAUCUCACGACACGAGCUGACGACAGCCAUGCAGCACCUGAACCGGCAGUCCCCGAAGGGAAAGCCCCAUCUCUGGGGCGGUCCGCCGUUGUCUAGCCCAGGUAAGGUGGGGAUGACGUAUUCUACG